rnacentral:rRNA from 1 species
AUGUACAGCGUCAUCGUGAUGAAGCUCAACCUCACCACGGGCCUCGUCCCCACGCUCAACGUCUCCGCCGCGCUCAUCGCCUUCGUCGUCCUCCGCGGCUGGACCAAGGCGCUGGCCCGCCUCGGCGUUGCCGCCCGCCCCUUCACGUGCCAGGAGAACACCGUCGUGCAGACCUGCGCCGUCGCCUGCUACAGCAUCGCCGUCGGAGGUCAGUGCUGGCCACACAUCACAUCCGCCAAUUUGUCAAGUGGAGACCUUGGAUUGAGACGCGUCCUUGGAUUUUUCCCUUCCCUUCCCACAGGCGGGUUCGGGUCCUACCUGCUCGCGCUCGACAAGAACACCUACGAGAUGGCCGGGGAGGAGACGGAGGGCAACGUGCCAGGGAGCUACAAGGAGCCCGGCAUUGCGUGGAUGACCGGCUUCCUCCUCGCCGUCAGCUUCGUGGGGAUCAUCGCGCUCGUCCCUCUCAGGAAGAUUAUGAUUAUUGACUACAAAUUAACUUAUCCAAGCGGGACUGCAACAGCUGUGCUUAUAAAUGGAUUCCAUACGCCUCAUGGAGAUGCUAUGGCAAAGCAGCAAGUAAAUGGAUUCACAAAAUACUUCGGAAUCAGCUUCUUCUGGAGCUUCUUCCAGUGGUUUUACUCUGGUGGGGACAGUUGUGGGUUCUCGCAGUUUCCUACUUUUGGACUAACAGCUCGGAAACACACAUUCUUCUUUGAUUUCAGCCUCACAUAUGUUGGGGCAGGGAUGAUUUGUUCCCACCUCGUUAAUCUGUCUCUCCUUUUUGGCGCCAUUCUCUCCUGGGGUGUCAUGUGGCCUCUGAUCAGUGAUUUGGAAGGCGACUGGUAUCCAGCAAAUAUACCAGAAAGCAGCAUGAGCAGUCUGCAAGGCUACAAGGCCUUCAUAUGCAUAGCUCUCAUCCUAGGAGAUGGCCUGUACAAUUUUGUCAAGAUUAUUGUAUUCACUAUCAAAAAUCUGAUUGAAAAAUCAAAUCUGAAGAACACAAAGAAAGAUGAAGACAUUCCAGUGCUUGAUGACCUUCACCGUAAUGAAGUUUUUAUGAAAGACAGUCUACCUUCCUGGCUAGCCUACUCUGGCUACGUUGCAUUAUCAGUUGCUGCAGUAAUUAUCAUCCCCAUGAUGUUCCGCGAGAUGAAGUGGUACUAUGUUGUCAUUGCGUACCUACUGGCUCCUGCCCUGGGUUUCUGCAAUGCCUAUGGUGCCGGCCUUACUGAUAUCAACAUGGCCUACAAUUAUGGGAAGGUUGCCCUCUUCAUUCUUGCAGCCUGGGCUGGAAAAGACUCUGGUGUAGUGGCUGGCUUAGUAGGCUGCGGUCUGGUGAAAUCGCUGGUGUCAAUAUCUGCUGAUCUGAUGCAUGAUUUCAAGACUGGGCAUCUCACACUAACAUCACCUAGAUCAAUGCUAAUUGCUCAAGCUAUUGGCACUGCCAUGGGCUGUAUCAUUGGGCCACUAACAUUCAUGCUGUUCUAUAAAGCAUUUGACAUAGGCAACCCAGAAGGGCCCUGGAAGGCACCGUAUGCUCUGAUCUACCGAAACAUGGCGAUUCUUGGUGUCGAGGGUUUCUCUGCUCUACCCCAGCAUUGCUUGCAGCUGUGCUAUGGGUUAUUUGGCUUUGCAGUGGUGGCCAACCUUAUGAGGGACCUCUUGCCGCCGAAGUAUGGCAGGUGGGUUCCCCUACCGAUGGCAAUGGGGGUUCCUUUCCUCGUCGGCGCGAGCUUUGCCAUCGACAUGUGUGUAGGAAGCUUAGUAGUCUUUGUCUGGAACAUGAUGGACAGAAGUAAGGCUGCACUGAUGGUGCCGGCAGUUGCAUCUGGUUUGAUAUGUGGAGAUGGGCUCUGGAUCUUCCCAUCGGCAUUGCUUGCACUGGCCAAGAUCAGUCCACCAUUCUGCAUGGCAUUUAGGCCUACACACUAG